UCCGUAGGCGGUGCGGCAAGUCGGAAGUGAAAUCUCUGGGCUUAACCCAGAGGCUGCUUCCGAAACUGCCGUGCUAGAGUGCGAGAGAGGCGAGUGGAAUUGCGGGUGUAGCGGUGAAAUGCGUAGAUAUCCGCAGGAACAUCCGAGGCGAAGGCGGCUCGCUGGAUCGCAACUGACGCUGAGGGACGAAAGCUAGGGGAGCAAACAGGAUUAGAUACCCUGGUAGUCCUAGCCCUAAACCAUCAGGACUUGGGGUUUGCCCUGUACGGGGCAGUCCCGUAGCUAACGCGUUAAGUCCUGCGCCUGGGGAGUACGGUCGCAAGGCUGA
rnacentral:rRNA from 1 species